UUACCUGAAAUGUUCACUUUGUAACCAGGCAAUGGGGCCCAAAUCUACCCCUGCACCAGCACUGAGUAUAGAAGAGAUGCACAGGGGAGGAGACUUGUCCCUCCUCAGCCUCAAGCUCAUGGCACAGAGAUUGGUUUUCCCAUGGAAAGCAGAUAGCACAUCAAUUACCCUGCUCCAGGCAUGGCCUGGGACUGGGAUGCUUCAUGCAGUUCCAGCCAUUAGGAAGGAGAGCCCUUUCUCCAGCUACCAGUUGAGGAAAACCACAAUUUUUCAUUGUAUGAGCUGGAAAACCAAGCACCUAAAUUCAUCUGCUUCUUUAUUUACUCCUCCCUCAGUGCUGUUGGAUCUUCAGGCUGGAGGCAGGAAACACUCUGCUGAUCUUUUUGGCUCUAAGGAUGCAUUUUCCAGUCUGAACAAACCCCAGGAGAUUUGAGGUUUUAUUCUUGCUGCAUGACAAGCAGCAGGAGCCGUAGGUGUGGGGUGCUUGGGAUAUAUCCCACCACACCACAGCUGGCAAAACAAAUCUUUCCACAAAGCUUGCACCACCUGCCCAGCUUCGUCCCCACAGGAAAUCCAGCCUCCCCCGCUCCUGGAGACAAGAGCUGGACCUUUGUUUGCAGCUCCCCUUUCACAAAUAAAACCAGUGCUGACUAGUAAACACAGUGCCACUGAAUGUGCAGAGCAACACUCGAAGAUUGGAAGAUAAUUGUGGGUUUUUCUACUGACUUGGGUAAGAGGAGCUGCCAAAUCCUUGAACUGUGGGCAAACAGCUCCUUGUUACUGAAAUUUGCUUUCUAGCAGCACCCUAAGGUGUUUUGUGCUUCUUAUGCACUCAGUUUGAGGGGAUGGUUGGGAUUUUAAGAGGAGAGAAUUAGGGGCAGAUCCAACCUAAAUACAAAACUGACCCAUCAGGAAGAGUUUAUCUGCAGGGAGUGACAUGCAAAUGUAUAGGAACAACACGAGGAUCCCUACACCGGGUCUGACCUGAAGUCCUGCUAGAUGAGUAUCUAACCUCCAAAUAAGUCUGAAACCAGUGACUUCAGGACCAGGUAAGCAUAUCCCUCCAAAUAUGAAAAUUAUAUUUCCCUUCUAGAAGUGCUAAGAAUUUAAACACUCUUAAAUUUAGUCUUUUUAUAUCUCUCCUGCCCUAACUAGCCCUUACAAGUUCUGUAUCUCCCAAACUCUCCCAUAAAAAGGGUCUCAAGACGGAAGAAUUGAAAGAAUUUGAACAUUAUGUGAGCCCUCAUUUGCCUCUUCCAGAUAUAUAGUACUUCAUUGC
ensembl:lncRNA